AGCACCUCUAUUAAUGUAAGCUUUCUUAGUGACCAUUUCCAUUGUAUUUCAGAUCAUCAGGAGCAGUUUCCAAGGAGACUACCUCCUUGUGGGUUGAAUCUUCAGCAGGUGCAUAUUAGCUCAUUUCCAGCGAAGUCUGCAGGCAGAAAAUCAACUCUGCUCUUGCCUGACCUUCUCACCUGCUUCCUGUUUUAUCCUCUCAUGGAUGCAACUUUCCCCG
rnacentral:lncRNA from 1 species